rnacentral:misc_RNA from 1 species
AUGAAGAACGUAGCGAAAUGCGAUAAGUAAUGUGAAUUGCAGAAUUCAGUGAAUCAUCGAAUCUUUGAACGCACAUUGCGCCCGCCAGUAUUCUGGCGGGCAUGCCUGUUCGAGCGUCAUUUCAACCAUCAAGCCCCCGGGCCUGUGUUGGGGACCUGCGGCUGCCCGCAGGCCCCGAAAACCAGUGGCGGGCUCGCUGUCACCCCGAGCGUAGUAGCAACACCUCGCCCAGGGAGUGCCGCGGGCACCGGCCGUAAAACCUCCUCUCGCCCCCCCCCGCGGGAGGGAACACCCCAAAGGUUGACCUCGGAUCAGGUAGGAAGACCCGCUGAACUUAAGCAUAUCAAUAAGCGGAGGA